UCACACAUUCUCUAUUUUUGUAAAAUAGACAUUCAUGUAAGAGUUUAUGUGUAGAAAGAUAACAUGUGCUUACCUACAUUGAAAUUAACUGUAAAGAAGAUGACAAUAAUAUUCUUUUUGUCACAGAACCUAUAUUUAUUAUAGUGGCUAGACAAGAUGGAUAAAUAUUGUUUGAUUCUAAUGGCAAACGAAAUUUAAAGAUUAAGUGGAUGGAAAUAAUCUUGUAAAUAAUUACUGAUGGGGAACUGAUACAGUGGGUAAUUUGUGUAGAUGUUUGCAGUUUAUAAUUGAGGAAUGUGUGAUAUAAGACCAUAUGGAAGCAAGGAUGAACAGUUCAGAAAAAUGAAAUUUAAACAAUCAGAUCACAUGGUUGUCACUAAUAAUUUAUAAUGAUAUGCUGCUAUUUUGUCAUUCAUGUCCUAUUUAUAUAUGUAAUGGGUUUUGGCUUUUGGUUAUAGUUAUUGAAUUCAAACUUACUAAGUUUUAUUUAAUUAUUGCAUUGCCAGGUCAAGUUGCAUGCAGAAAAACAAAGAGGUGAUGAAUAUGAAAGGAAAUAUGCAGAAGCUCAAGGAUCCAAUGAAGAGUUACGCAAAAUAUUAGCAGAAACUGAAAAAAGAGUACAUCAGAUUCAGGACACUUGGAACAGUGUGUAUCAGGAUGAUAUCUUCCAUGUCAAAUCAAGUUGCCGCCGAUCUGAAGACGAUCUUGAGUACUUCGUCAAGAUUGAGUUCAAAUUUUCGACCUAUAGCUAGGGUUGACGUUGCUUCUAGUAACUCUGAUACUUCGUCUACAGACUCUGAUUUCACAUUUCCAGCUACUGCUUCAAAUCCAGAACCUCAGGAGUCAAAUUCUUUCCCGCUAGUAGUUCAGGAUGUCACUGCAGGGGAUGGAUCGGGAUCUGAAAGUGGAAAGGAGGGUUCAUUUGAUGAUUUCUUCUAGUAAAACUUGUUUUUUUAUAUCGUGCUUAAAUUUUAAUAUCCUCGGUGUCUCUGGGGAAACAAGGAGGAAAAAUAGAAAGAUAUGGAGGGUGGCAUCUGUUAGGAUUGUUCAUUCCUUCUGCCACAUACACUAAAACAUUUGUAGAUACACACAGUUCAUCCCAGGAUCUUGUAGAACAGUAAGGUAGAGAUAGCAAAAGUGUCAAUCUAUGAUGAACCCAUUUGACGAGUGUUUCACCAUGUUGACAUCCCUUCUGAAUUCUAUAUUAUUUGAUGUCAAAUGACACACAGUAACAAUUUUGUAUAUAACAUUUCCAGAGGUUUUUCUGGUC